rnacentral:rRNA from 1 species
UACGUAGGGGGCAAGCGUUGUCCGGAUUUAUUGGGCGUAAAGAGCGUGUAGGCGGCCAAACAGGUCAGCUGUGAAAACUCGAGGCUCAACCUCGAGACGUCGGUUGAAACCGUUUGGCUAGAGUCCGGAAGAGGAGAGUGGAAUUCCCGGUGUAGCGGUGAAAUGCGCAGAUAUCAGGAGGAACACCAAUGGCGAAGGCAGAUCUCUGGGCCGUAACUGACGCUGAGGAGCGAAAGCAUGGGGAGCGAACAGG